AUCAAGUCCUUAACAUAUCCUGAAAAGCAAAUCAUUAUUUAUGUUGGCUUUGCAUUGCACUUUGAGAAAAGAAAAAAUGGGUAUGUUUUGGUGCAAAAAGAAUCACCACUCGGUGGAAACCUUCGAUGGAUGAAGUCUGCUUCUGAUAACUGAGUUUUCUAAUAUCUCUCAUGAGAUACUUCGACUCAACAAUCGAAGACAGCUCAACAUAAGCUUUUGAACCUAAGAUCAGAAGUUAGUUAACAAAAA